UGCUGGAGGUAUCAGAAGUGCGAAUGCUGACAUAAGUAACGAUAAAGCGGGUGAAAAGCCCGCUCGCCGGAAGACCAAGGGUUCCUGUCCAACGUUAAUCGGGGCAGGGUGAGUCGACCCCUAAGGCGAGGCCGAAAGGCGUAGUCGAUGGGAAACAGGUUAAUAUUCCUGUACUUGGUGUUACUGCGAAGGGGGGACGGAGAAGGCUAUGUUAGCCGGGCGACGGUUGUCCCGGUUUAAGCAUGUAGGCUGGUUAUCCAGGCAAAUCCGGAUAAUCAAGGCUGAGGUGUGAUGACGAGGCACUACGGUGCUGAAGUAACAAAUGCCCUGCUUCCAGGAAAAGCCUCUAAGCAUCAGGUAACAUCAAAUCGUACCCCAAACCGACACAGGUGGUCAGGUAGAGAAUACCAAGGCGCUUGAGAGAACUCGGGUGAAGGAACUAGGCAAAAUGGUGCCGUAACUUCGGGAGAAGGCACGCUGGUGUGUAGGUGAAGUCCCUGCGGAUGGAGCUGAGACCAGUCGAAGAUACCAGCUGGCUGCAACUGUUUAUUAAAAACACAGCACUGUGCAAACACGAAAGUGGACGUAUACGGUGUGACGCCUGCCCGGUGCCGGAAGGUUAAUUGAUGGGGUUAUCCGUAAGGAGAAGCUCUUGAUCGAAGCCCCGGUAAACGGCGGCCGUAACUAUAACGGUCCUAAGGUAGCGAAAUUCCUUGUCGGGUAAGUUCCGACCUGCACGAAUGGCGUAAUGAUGGCCAGGCUGUCUCCACCCGAGACUCAGUGAAAUUGAACUCGCUGUGAAGAUGCAGUGUACCCGCGGCAAGACGGAAAGACCCCGUGAACCUUUACUAUAGCUUGACACUGAACAUUGAGCCUUGAUGUGUAGGAUAGGUGGGAGGCUUUGAAGCGUGGACGCCAGUCUGCGUGGAGCCAACCUUGAAAUACCACCCUUUAAUGUUUGAUGUUCUAACGUUGGCCCCUUACCGGGGUUGCGGACAGUGUCUGGUGGGUAGUUUGACUGGGGCGGUCUCCUCCCAAAGCGUAACGGAGGAGCACGAAGGUUAGCUAAUCCUGGUCGGACAUCAGGAGGUUAGUGCAAUGGCAUAAGCUAGCUUGACUGCGAGCGUGACGGCGCGAGCAGGUGCGAAAGCAGGUCAUAGUGAUCCGGUGGUUCUGAAUGGAAGGGCCAUCGCUCAACGGAUAAAAGGUACUCCGGGGAUAACAGGCUGAUACCGCCCAAGAGUUCAUAUCGACGGCGGUGUUUGGCACCUCGAUGUCGGCUCAUCACAUCCUGGGGCUGAAGUAGGUCCCAAGGGUAUGGCUGUUCGCCAUUUAAAGUGGUACGCGAGCUGGGUUUAGAACGUCGUGAGACAGUUCGGUCCCUAUCUGCCGUGGGCGCUGGAGAAUUGAGGGGGGCUGCUCCUAGUACGAGAGGACCGGAGUGGACGCAUCACUGGUGUUCGGGUUGUCAUGCCAAUGGCACUGCCCGGUAGCUAAAUGCGGAAGAGAUAAGUGCUGAAAGCAUCUAAGCACGAAACUUGCCCCGAGAUGAGUUCUCCCUGAGACUUUAAGUCUCCUGAAGGAACGUU
rnacentral:rRNA from 1 species